rnacentral:rRNA from 1 species
CCUACGGGAGGCAGCAGUGGGGAAUAUUGCACAAUGGGGGAAACCCUGAUGCAGCGACGCCGCGUGAGUGAAGAAGUAAUUCGUUAUGUAAAGCUCUAUCAGCAGGGAAGAAAAUGACGGUACCUGAGUAAGAAGCCCCGGCUAACUACGGGCCAGCAGCCGCGGUAAUACGUAGGGGGCAAGCGUUAUCCGGAUUUACUGGGUGUAACGGGAGCGUAGACGGCAGUGCAAGUCUGGAGUGAAAGGCGGGGGCUCAACCCCCGGACUGCUCUGGAAACUGUACGGCUGGAGUGCAGGAGAGGUAAGUGGAAUUCCUAGUGUAGCGGUGAAAUGCGUAGAUAUUAGGAGGAACACCAGUGGCGAAGGCGGCUUACUGGACUGUAACUGACGUUGAGGCUCGAAAGCGUGGGGAGCAAACAGGAUUAGAUACCCGAGUAGUC